rnacentral:rRNA from 1 species
UUGGCUCAGGAUGAACGCUGGCGGCGCACAUAAGACAUGCAAGCCGAACGAACUUAAUCGAAAGUUUACUUUUGAAGCGGUUAGUGGCGGACUGGUGAGUAACGCGUAAGCAAUCUGCCUAAAAGAGGGGGAUAACAGUGAGAAAUUACUGCUAAUACCGCAUAAGCUGUGAAUAGCACAUGCUAAGAACAGAAAAGGAGCAAUCCACUUUUAGAUGAGCUUGCGUCUGAUUAGCUAGUUGGUAAGGUAACGGCCUACCAAGGCAAUGAUCAGUAGCCGGACUGAGAGGUUAAACGGCCACAUUGGGACUGAGAUACGGCCCAGACUCCUACGGGAGGCAGCAGUGGGGAAUA